UGAGCGUCGUUGUAUGGAAGACUAGUGAUUUUGUUGUUCUACUUAAGAUGUAACAAGGAAUCACUAAUCAUCCUACAAAGACGCUCG
rfam:Nasonia vitripennis strain AsymCX Ctg9704, whole genome shotgun sequence.